rnacentral:lncRNA from 1 species
AUAUGUAUUCAAUUCCUACCACCGUAGUGGAAGAGAGGCUAUCCCUAUCUUUACAACUGAUAGCAUUUCCAACAGUAAGCUGUGAGAUUCUGCUUGAAAUCACCUCUCAAACAAAUAAAAAACAGACCUGGGAGACACGCUACACUCAUUCUGCUGAAGAAAUAGGCAUCAUACUUGGGGAAACAGGGAUUCACAAGACCCAGGCUGUUCCCUACAUAUGUUUCCUCCUCCGACAUCAGUUCAUCAGUCAAUCAAGUCAUGUGAGAGUGGAGGCCUUGUAUUCCCUAUUAUUCUUGGGCACUCUCCUCCAAGGAGGGAAAGGCCAGGAGGUCCUUUUAGAGGAUGCACUCUGAGAGCCCGGGCUCCCUAAGGUAUGAGAGUUCUAACCAGCAGGUGUAGACUUUUCAGGAGUGAGGAAUGAGGCAGGCAUUCCAAACCGGUACCUUCAUUACCUUUUGUUUCAUCUCAAGACAAUUCUGAGGGGCUGUUUUGGAGCGUGUCUGGAAGGUGAACGUUGAAGAAGAGUGUGGGCUUUGAUAUGACUCAGUUGAGAUCUUUCAUGGGGAGGCAGGAAUUCAAUGCCCAGAAUCUGGGCUGGUGUCUUUGAGGUCAGUAGGUUGCAUCUUUUUAUCCAAGUCCGUUGUUACUAGGUUGGAGGCUGGAGAUUCUAAAUGGCUUCCAGACUGCCUCUCUGAUUCUCUUUGGGAGAUGUGGUCUGAAAGACAAUGUCAGUAUUUUUGGGAAAUUCUAGAAAGUCUGCUUGGAAACGUGGGAAGAGCUCUUGCCUAGUGCCUAAAUGCUCCAUUUGCAGCUCUAGCCAAGUAGAUACUUGGUAGGUAUAGAGCCGGGUUUGCAUUUAUAUCAGCAAAACCUAUGUCAGAGUUGAAGAAGUAGUCAGGAAAAAGUGUAUUGGUCACAGGCCGGGGAACAUCUUAAAAGCAAACUUCUAGCCUGCUGACUCUUGGCAAUGAGUGUUGGGUCCUGGCUAAAGUGCCUUGAAUGCAGCAUGAGUCCAAUCCAUGAAUCCAACUUCUAAUGGAGAAAUGUUAAUAUUUUUUCUGUUUGAAUCAAUCAGGGUGAAACUACCAUGCUAUUGGUUUGCUUACUUUUUAUUAUUUCAUAUAAAAUCUAAGACAAAAUACAUUAAAUGCUUAUUGACAUAUGUAUUUAUUCUUCACUGGGCUGAUAAUAUCUGCCUAAUUUUAAACUUUCUUCCAUUUUGUAGGUUUCAACUUAUUUUAUUGUAAGAUAUUGUUAAAUCUAAUACAGGCAUUGUCACUUUUACAUAUAAUUUUAUUUUAUUUCAUAUAUUUCCUAUUGGCUUUUUACAUUUAAAUUAUGGACCACUUCAUCAUAUAAAAAGCUUCAAUUAUAUUUAAACAGUAAGUCUUUGGAUUUUUUUGUCUUGUAAUUUCCAUAUUACAUAAUAAUGAGAUAAACAUUAAUGUUUUCAGGGUACUUUAAAUUUUAGAUAAUUACUCAUUGUAUUCAUGUGAAAUUUGUUUUUACUGCAUGUGUGGGUUGGAGGACUGUUUUCACUUCUGAUUCAUCUUUACUCUUAUCUCAUCAGAGCUCAUACCUCUUGUAGUUGGGGGAUUGCAGUUUAUAAUUCCGAUAAAUGGGGCAAAUUCAAUAAUAACAUAAUACAGAUGAGUUUGAAUGCACAACAUGUCUUCAAAGCAUACACAACAUGGGCCAACAUAUGUAUAACAAUAAUAAUUUAUAAGUUACAGUUUGGAUGGAAAGUAAAAGUACAGAAAAUUUGUUAAAGGAAAUUAAAAUGGAAAUCAUGUCUCAAUAAUCUCAGAGCAGACAAAAUUAGUUAGGUCUCAUAAGUGAUCUCAACCUUGCUUGAUUUGCAAAUACAAACAAAACUUAAAUUAUUUCUUGUAGCUGCAUAUUUAAAAAAGAGAAAUGAAGCUCAACCAAUCAGAAGUAGCCAACAACCUUAUAUAAAUAGAAACUGUCCAACAAGGUAAACAGACAAACACAAAACAAUAAAAAAAGUUGUGCUACCACCAAUCAAA